GAUGAACGCUGGCGGCGUGCCUAAUACAUGCAAGUCGAGCGAACAGACGAGGAGCUUGCUCCUCUGACGUUAGCGGCGGACGGGUGAGUAACACGUGGAUAACCUACCUAUAAGACUGGGAUAACUUCGGGAAACCGGAGCUAAUACCGGAUAAUAUAUUGAACCGCAUGGUUCAAUAGUGAAAGACGGUUUUGCUGUCACUUAUAGAUGGAUCCGCGCCGCAUUAGCUAGUUGGUAAGGUAACGGCUUACCAAGGCAACGAUGCGUAGCCGACCUGAGAGGGUGAUCGGCCACACUGGAACUGAGACACGGUCCAGACUCCUACGGGAGGCAGCAGUAGGGAAUCUUCCGCAAUGGGCGAAAGCCUGACGGAGCAACGCCGCGUGAGUGAUGAAGGUCUUCGGAUCGUAAAACUCUGUUAUUAGGGAAGAACAAAUGUGUAAGUAACUAUGCACGUCUUGUCGGUACCUAAUCAGAAAGCAACGGCUAACUACGUG
rnacentral:rRNA from 1 species